UAAGCUCACCUUGCCGGUAAUUAAUUAAAUUGUGGGUCAUUACAGGAUGUGUGUCUGUGCCUGUGAUGUCCACAGAGAACAGAGCAGUGCAAACAUCCAGCUUCCAGUUAAAUUUCUCCUCUUCUGUUGUGUCAUCAUUUUGAGGUAAAGGGGACUUUCAGGGAAGACUGCUUUCUUUCCUUCCUCUCCCUACACUUCCCUUGCUAGCUCAAACCCAUUACUCUGGAAACUAACAGCGUGGGGAAUGCAAUCUCUCCUGCUUUAACAGCAGAAAUGUAAUCUUCUCAGAAACAAGGUGACUGAAAACAGAAGUGGCAGAGAAUCGAGCUGGUUGGAGACUUGGUGCCUGCUCUCUGCCAAACAUCAUUUCAUCUAAACCACUCUGAUACAUUCUCCAGCAUUCUCCGGAUAGGGUGUGAUUCUUCUCUCAGAUGCUGUAUGGUCAUGUUUUCCAAAGCUCACAUAAACUGAGCGCACACUAAAAGUAAUACUGAGCAUUGUUCAUAUAUUAGUUUGUACUCUUUCUAUGUGGUAAAACUGAGAAAAUCUAAAUGACUGCAAUAACCUCUAAAACUGAGACUUUAAGGUCUACAGCCUGUGCAACAUGUUAGACAAAACAUCAUACAAAAGCUUGAAUCAUUACAGUUAAAAAUAAAUCAGUGCAUGACAUGUACAAGACUACUGUGUUGUAUAACACUGUAGAUCUAUCAAAACCAGUGUCAACUGUGAAAAUGCUCUGUAGCAAAAAAUCUGAUCCAGCUCACAAGUACAGAUCUUCAUUGUAA